AUGCCAGUAAUUUGCUGGGGAACAAAUUGCUCGACCAGGAGCGCCAAACUUGCGAUAGCAAAUUAAUUGUGCUGUGCGUGGAGGCGUUGUCGCAGGAUAGAAGGCGAAAACGCGAUAUCAGCGACAGCGAACCUGUGUUCCAUACGGCGGAAGCAUAUGCGCGCCACCUCAAAGAGGUGUUAACUUGAAAUUCCGACUAUCGCGCACAUGUGCCACGUAAGCGUGCCGGACGAGGGCAUUUGUUGUGGCUACAAUCAGUACAUCAUCAACAUCAACCAGUCAAAACUAAGCAACUCCAACAGCAACAAAAACAAUAAAAAA